rnacentral:lncRNA from 1 species
AAGCUUCGCGGAUUGUCUUUUGCUCCAAGUUAUUUUUGGUGAUUUUUUUUUUUUUUAGUGGUUUUUCAGCGGAGCGCUAGUGGCACUAUACGCUCAAGACAGGUUAUCCCGUCUCUCCCGCUAGAUUGAUGAGAUCAGGCAUC